rnacentral:rRNA from 1 species
CCUACGGGAGGCAGCAGUGGGGGAUAUUGCACAAUGGGGGAAACCCUGAUGCAGCGACGCCGCGUGUGGGAAGACGGUCUUCUGGAUUGUAAACCACUGUUCCCAGGGACGAAAAUGACGGUACCUGGGGAGGAAGCUCCGGCUAACUACGUGCCAGCAGCCGCGGUAAUACGUAGGGAGCAAGCGUUGUCCGGAAUUACUGGGGGUAAAGGGAGCGUAGGCGGGGAUGCAAGUUGGGUGUCAAAACUACCGGCUCAACCGAUAGUCGCACUCAAAACUGCAACUCUUGAGUGAAGUAGAGGCAGGCGGAAUUCCUGGUGUAGCGGUGAAAUGCGUAGAUAUUAGGAGGAACACCAGUGGCGAAGGCGGCCUGCUGGGCUUUUACUGACGCUGAGGCUCGAAAGUGUGGGGAGCAAACAGGAUUAGAUACCCGGGUAGUC